GACGAACGCUGGCGGCGUGCUUAACACAUGCAAGUCGAACGGAAAGGCCCUGCUUUUGUGGGGUGCUCGAGUGGCGAACGGGUGAGUAACACGUGAGUAACCUGCCCUUGACUUUGGGAUAACUUCAGGAAACUGGGGCUAAUACCGGAUAGGAGCUCCUGCUGCAUGGUGGGGGUUGGAAAGUUUCGGCGGUUGGGGAUGGACUCGCGGCUUAUCAGCUUGUUGGUGGGGUAGUGGCUUACCAAGGCUUUGACGGGUAGCCGGCCUGAGAGGGUGACCGGCAACAUUGGGACUGAGAUACGGCCCAGACUCCUACGGGAGGCAGCAGUGGGGAAUAUUGCACAAUGGGCGGAAGCCUGAUGCAGCAACGCCGCGUGCGGGAUGACGGCCUUCGGGUUGUAAACCGCUUUCGCCUAUGACGAAGCGUGAGUGACGGUAAUGGGUAAAGAAGCACCGGCUAACUACGU
rnacentral:rRNA from 1 species